GAAAAGGGGGAAACACUCCCCCCAAGGACU
rnacentral:tRNA from 1 species